UACGUAGGGCGCAAGCGUUGUCCGGAAUUAUUGGGCGUAAAGAGCUCGUAGGUGGCCUGUCGCGUCGGCUGUGAAAACUCGGGGCUUAACCCCGGGCCUGCAGUGGGUACGGGCUGACUAGAGUGCGGUAGGGGAGACUGGAAUUCCUGGUGUAGCGGUGAAAUGCGCAGAUAUCAGGAGGAACACCGGUGGCGAAGGCGGGUCUCUGGGCCGUAAGCUGA
rnacentral:rRNA from 1 species